CCAAGGGUUCGGCUGUUCGCCGAUUAAAGCGGUACGUGAGCUGGGUUUAGAACGUUGUGAAACAGUUCGGUCCCUAUCUACCAUGAUUUAAAGUUGCGAAAGGUUUUCCUAGUACGGGAGGAUCGGAAAACACCGGCCUAUUGUGAUCAGUUGUGUUUCUAUAAUGCUGCGCAAUGCUGAAAAGCUACGCCGGGGGGCAUAAUCGCUGAAAGCAUAUAAGUGAGAAGGCCUUUUCAAAAUA
rnacentral:rRNA from 1 species